rnacentral:antisense_RNA from 1 species
GGACGCGUGGCCCACGCACUGGAACGGCUCCACGUCCUGCAGACACAUUCUGGGACUGCACCUUAUGAGUGCUGCUCACUCUGUUUCCUGCAGAAGACAUACAGAACCGUUCACAUAGAAUAGGGCUAUGAUUUUGAUUCAGCAAUUCUUCAAACCACUGAUGCUGGUUGACCAUUUGACUUUGUUUUUGAAGUAUUUUUUACAUACAGUGUACAGAACAUUUCUGCUGGAUAUUUGGAUA